rnacentral:rRNA from 1 species
GUGCUUGGGCGAGAGUAGUACUAGGAUGGGUGACCCCCUGGGAAGUCCUCGUGUUGCACCCCCCCCGGGGAAAGUGACGAAAGGAAACGCGCGUACGAGUGAACAUGGCUUACAAAAUCCGAUAAUCGUAACAUUUUGGAAUAAAGGAGUAAAAAGGGAAAAGGCCCC